rnacentral:rRNA from 1 species
AUGGAUUAGUGGCGCACGGGUGAGUAAUGCAUAGAUAACAUGCCCUUUAGUUUGGAAUAGCCACUAGAAAUGGUGAUUAAUACCAAAUACUACCUUACGAGGGAAAGAUUUAUCGCUAAAGGAUUGGUCUAUGUCCUAUCAGCUUGUUGGUGAGGUAAAGGCUCACCAAGGCUAUGACGGGUAUCCGGCCUGAGAGGGUGAACGGACACACUGGAACUGAGACACGGUCCAGACUCCUACGGGAGGCAGCAGUAGGGAAUAUUGCUCAAUGGGGGAAACCCUGAAGCAGCAACGCCGCGUGGAGGAUGAAGGUUUUAGGAUUGUAAACUCCUUUUGUGAGAGAAGAUA